AUUUGAUAAUAACUUGAGUGUAAGGUGUGAUGAGCAUGAGGUCUUAGGUUUAAAUCUUAUUUAAGAUAUUUUAUGUCUUUUUUUAGUUUUUUCACUUUUCUAAUUUUAUUUUAUUUACUUUUUCCUUUUUCUUAUAAUUGUUUUAGUUAUUAUUAUUAUAUUUUAUUCUUGUUAUUAAUUUUAAAUUAUUAUUAUUAAAGAAAAACUCAAAAAUAAAUCUUUUAUUAUUUAUUAAGUUAAUUAUUAGUAAGUGCA
rnacentral:lncRNA from 1 species